AGUGAACGCUGGCGGUAGGCCUAACACAUGCAAGUCGAAUGGCAGCACAGUAAGAGCUUGCUCUUACGGGUGGCGAGUGGCGGACGGGUGAGGAAUACAUCGGAAUCUACUUUUUCGUGGGGGAUAACGUAGGGAAACUUACGCUAAUACCGCAUACGACCUACGGGUGAAAGCAGGGGAUCUUCGGACCUUGCGCGAUUGAAUGAGCCGAUGUCGGAUUAGCUAGUUGGCGGGGUAAAGGCCCACCAAGGCGACGAUCCGUAGCUGGUCUGAGAGGAUGAUCAGCCACACUGGAACUGAGACACGGUCCAGACUGCUACGGGAGGCAGCAGUGGGGAAUAUUGGACAAUGGGCGCAAGCCUGAUCCAGCCAUACCGCGUGGGUGAAGAAGGCCGUCGGGUUGUAAAGCCCUUUUGUUGGGAAAGAAAAGCAGCAGGUUAAUACCCCGCUGUUCUGACGGUACCCAAAGAAUAAGCACCGGCUAACUUCG
rnacentral:rRNA from 1 species